ACCAUUAGAAGUUACAGUAUACUUCGUAUAUCAGUAAAACUUAUCCGCAAAUAUGAAACUAUUACAAUUAUUCGUCGUGCUUGGAUGCAUUGCUGUCGGUGUAUUGGGUACUCCAAACGUUGGAUAUAGUGGCAUCCGUAACUCUGGUGUUAUUUCUAAACGUUAAACCAUAUGAAUGGAUUAAUUUUGGUUAUAAUGAAUUGCAUGCAUCAUUUUGAAUUUUAAAGAAAUUAUUGAAUUUAAAAAUAUAUAAAAAGAAUUAUGUUGUUAAAUUUUCAAAAUUAGGUAUUUUUAUAUUCAAUAAAGUACAUGCUAAAAAGUA